rnacentral:rRNA from 1 species
GUGCCAGCAGCCGCGGUAAUACAUAGGGGGCGAGCGUUAUCCGGAAUUAUUGGGCGUAAAGGGUGCGUAGGUGGCAAUGAAAGUCUUUGGUUAAACUUCUGGGCUCAACCCAGUUUUGCCAAAGAAACUUCAUAGCUAGAGUAUGGUAGAGGUGAGUGGAAUUCCAUGUGUAACGGUAAAAUGUGUAAAUAUAUGGAGGAACACCAGUGGCGAAGGCGGCUCACUAGACCGAGACUGACACUGAGGCACGAAAGCGUGGGGAGCAAACAGGAUUAGAUACCCUGGUAGUCCACGCUGUAAACGAUGAGUACUAAGUGUUACCGCAAGUAGCCGCUGAAGUUAACGCAUUAAGUACUCCGCCUGAGUAGUACGUACGCAAGUAUGAAACUUAAAGGAAUUGACGGGAGCCCGCACAAGCGGUGGAGCAUGUUGUUUAAUUCGACGAUACGCGAGAAACCUUACCAGGUCUUGACAUCCUUUGCGAAUCUAUAGAGAUAUAGAGGAGGUUAGCAGAGAGACAGGUGGUGCAUGGUUGUCGUCAGCUCGUGUCGUGAGAUGUUAGGUUAAGUCCUGCAACGAGCGCAACCCUUAUUGCUAGUUACCAUCAUUAAGUUGGGGACUCUAGCGAGACUGCCAGUGAUAAACUGGAGGAAGGCGGGGAUGACGUCAAAUCAUCAUGCCCCUUAUGACCUGGGCUACAAACGUGCUACAAUGGCUGCUACAAAGAGAAGCGAACAUGUGAAUGAAAGCAAACCUCAUAAAGGCAGUCUCAGUUCGGAUUGAAGUCUGCAACUCGACUUCAUGAAGUUGGAAUCGCUAGUAAUCGCAGAGGAGAGUGCUGCGGUGAAUACGUUCCCGGGCUUUGUACACACCGCCCGU